GGGGGACCGGCCCUCCGGGGGUGGCGUGGGCAGGGGGAUCGCCCCUCCCGCGGUGGGGCGGGGGCAGCCACGGCGGCGAGGGAGGCGGAGGAUGGCUGUGCGCGGCGGCGAUGGGCCGAGGCUCCUGCCCGGACGACGCACCUCACGGCGGCGCCCGGACAGCCGGGCUGCACGGCCGGGGCUUCGCCCAGAGGCUGCACAGACACUGCGUGCUGACCGCUGGCCGGCGACCGCGGACACCGCGGGGUCCCAGCCGCGGCGUCUCGGCCGCUCCCCCGGCGGCGGCGCGGGGCGUGCGCCUCCUGGCGAGCAGCUCAAGCCGCCGGGCCUCCCAGCCAGCCCCGCCUGUGAGGACGCCAGGCCCCCGUCGUCCCGUCGCCGGGCGGCCCCGGGAUCCCAAGAUGCCUGCGGUGAAAGCUCUUCCGCAGGAAGCAGCCCAGUGCAGUGUCCCUUGCCUGAGAGGGUGAAGCUAAGAGGGAGGUGCCGCCAGCCCCGCCGGGCCAGGCCAGGCCUCCGCAGAGGGCUCCCCUGUGCCUUUGCCUUGUGGAUGCCGAGCUCCUCCGGGAGGAGGGACCCAUGACUCUGGACGUGAUUCCCCACGCCUCCCGUUAGCUGCAAUAUCGCUGCUUUGCGAGACGACUGCUUCCGGUGGAGAGGCUGACUCACCGGCCAGCAGGGAGCCCGCUUUGGUCUCAGUAAGAAUUCCCCAGAAGAAUACCAAAUGGCGGAACCUCACGGACUGGACGGAUGUGCUGUUGAAAUCCCAACUAGUUAAUGUUUCCUGGGUUUCUUUCUUUCAGAAAGGACAGAACCAAACUAACGAAGACUUAAUUUUCUCUGACCCUUAAUUUGAACGCAGCUGUUCCUUUGUUUUGACUGAUCCUCCAUGGCUUUGACAA
rnacentral:lncRNA from 1 species